UGAAGUACAUACCUAUGACCACGUAAAAUAAUAUCGACAACAGGGACGACGAUAAGGGAUCUGACAGAGGCCACAACGAUUUAUGACCGGUCUUUCAUCUCGACGCUGGAGCGGCAUAAGGUGGAUGUUCUAAUAAUAGAACAAACGUUGGCUUAAUUUUUUGGGUCAAGCUUUUGCGAGGAACGCCGCGAAGAAGGGGUUCGGGGGUGUCACGAGCUUGACAGCAAUGCAGGACCCUGCCGUCUGUGCGAAGGCGUGAUCAAGGAACGAGCUGCCGAUGUGGAUCUGAGAGGAUGGGAGGAGGACCGUAAACGCCGAGUAAUGUAGGGUGACUGGUUUUGGCAACGUAAAAAAUUUCAUUCGAGAAGUUUUUUUUCAACUUCGUUACUGUCCUUGGUGGUUAUGUUCGAAGACGAAGCUGUGGACAAAGAGAAGAAACACCUCGUCUGCACGAUUAACGGUUAACCGUGACAGUUAAGCCUAGCGUAAAGAGAAAAUUGGAUUGUCGAAUGAUGGAAUGGAAAUAAUUAUGCGCGAAGAAAGUUGCGGCAAGUAAUUUAAGAUAGAAAAUUAGGUAAGACUAGGUCAAAGCGUUACACCUAAUACCUUCUUUAUAACAGUUGUUCAAGAGAAAGUUUGACAGCCUCGAUUACCUUGUGGUAAUCCUCCACUUGCUUCAAUUCCCACGUCUUGUAAAUAAAACAACGA